rnacentral:rRNA from 1 species
CGGCAACAGCUCAAAUUUGAAAUCUGGCUCUUUCAGGGUCCGAGUUGUAAUUUGUAGAAGAUGCUUCGGGUGAGGCUCUGGUCUAAGUUCCUUGGAACAGGACGUCAUAGAGGGUGAGAAUCCCGUCUAGAACCGAUAGCCACGUUCAUGUGAAACUCCUUCGAC